UAUGAUGUCUGAAUAUUUUUUUAGGCCUUAAUCCUGUCACCUUAGGUCGAUCGGUACCUCUGAUUAAAAAAUUUAGAAUUGUUUAUUCAAUUAUUAAAUUCUUUAAUUUCAGUUCCUAAACUUGUCUAGGUCACACCCAACAAACUUUCUCCUGGGCUAUUAGCUCAGGCGGUUAGAGCGCACCCCUGAUAAGGGUGAGGUCCCUGGUUCAAGUCCAGGAUGGCCCAUUCGUUGUUGGGGGUAUAGCUCAGUUGGUAGAGCGCCUGCUUUGCAAGCAGGAUGUCAGCGGUUCGAGUCCGCUUACCUCCACUGAUCAACUACCUAAUAACUCAUUUUGGAGAAUGUUAUUUGGUUGCUGUGAUUUAGAAAUUAUUGUUCCUCUGAAUGAACCUAGCUUCCUGUCAUAUGCAUAUUUUGGAUUGAUAAGACGCUGGGCUCACUGAAUACUCUUUAGGUAUUUCAGUUUGAUUCAGUAGAACCUUGACAACUGCAUAGGAAAGUCUGGAAAAAUAAAGCAUCUCAUAGAUGCAUAAGGCAAUUUUUCAGUUAUUUAUUAUCUGAUUAUGUUUUAUGUUUAAUUCUUGAGUUAGAGCAAAAUUUCUAUAGAAAUUCUCUUUCAUUGAUGAAUGAGGUAAGUAU
rnacentral:tRNA from 1 species